rnacentral:rRNA from 1 species
UACAGAGGGUGCAAGCGUUGUUCGGAAUCAUUGGGCGUAAAGGGCGUGUAGGCGGUUUGCUAAGUCAUGUGUGAAAUCCCUCGGCUCAACCGGGGAACGACGCAUGAAACUGGCAAGCUAGAGUACCAAAGAGGGGGGUGGAAUUCCCGGUGUAGAGGUGAAAUUCGUAGAUAUCGAGAGGAACACCGGUGGCGAAGGCGGCCAACUGGACAGAUACUGACGCUGAGACACGAAAGCGUGGGGAGCAAACAGG